CUGAACUUAACCACUACGCCACUGGGCUAACCCCCAAAGCAGGAAUAUUUUUAAUGGGAAAGAGUGAAUAAGCACUCUGCAGGCUAGUUGGGCCUGAUGGGUGGUGCUCUUCCUUAUUCAAAUGAAACUUAGCAAUUCAAUUGGUGGCUGAAAAAAACCUGAAAAAUGCAGGAGUUGGAACCAGGGAAGACAAGUGAGAUGGAGGAGAAGACGUUUGUGGAAAACAGCCAGAUAUUUACCACCAAGACUCUCUGUGCUUAACUAAUUUCUCAUUAGUUCUGCAGGAAUCUCAGUGGCUUGAAUGCUAACAUGAUGGCAGAAGCUGGGUCGAUCAUCUUAGACCAUUAAGUGAAAGUCAAGAAUGAGGAAGGCAGAACAACAUAAUAGAAGGAUCCUAGAUCCCUUUUACUAUGGAGACCCCAUCACAUUCUGGAUUGCCUGCACUUAAUUGCUGAGUGAGAGAGCAGUCAAUGUUUAUCUCAUUUAAUCUCCUGUUGUGUUGGAUCUUGUCAAAGCAGCCAUCCUAUAUCUUAAUACAAUGAUUACGUCCUUAAUACAAUCACUUAGUGAUUGUCUUCCUUGGACUAUUGCAUUAGCCUUCUCACUUGUCUCUCUGUUUAUAUUUUAGAUUCAUAUGUCCAAUCUUCUCUGGUCACCA
rnacentral:lncRNA from 1 species